GAUGAACGCUGGCGGCGUGCCUAAUACAUGCAAGUCGAGCGAACAGACGAGGAGCUUGCUCCUCUGACGAUAGCGGUGGACGGGUGAGUAACACGUGGAUAACCUACCUAUAAGACUGGGAUAACUUCGGGAAACCGGAGCUAAUACCGGAUAACAUGUUGAACCGCAUGGUUCAACAGUGAAAGACGGUCUUGCUGUCACUUAUCGAUGGAUCCGCGCCGCAGUAGCUAGUUGGUAAGGUAACGGCUUACCAAAGCAACGAGGCGCAGCCGACAUGACAGGGAGGUCGGCCACACUGGAACUGAGACACGAUCCAGACUCGUACGGGAAGCAGCAGAAGGGAAUCUUCCGCAAUGGGCGAAAGCCUGACGGAGCAACGCCGCGUGAAUGAAGAAGGCCUUCUGAUCGUAAAACCCUGUUAUUAGGGAAGAACAAAUGUGUAAGUAACUAUGCACGUCUUGACGGUACCUAAUCAGAAAGCCACGGCUAACUACGUGCCAGCAGCCGCCGUAA
rnacentral:rRNA from 1 species